rnacentral:rRNA from 1 species
GGGUUGUGAGGUUAAGUGACUAAGCGUACACGGUGGAUGCCUAGGCAGUCAGAGGCGAUGAAGGGCGUGCUAAUCUGCGAAAAGCGUCGGUAAGGUGAUAUGAACCGUUACAACCGGCGAUACCCGAAUGGGGAAACCCAGUGUGUUUCGACACACUAUCAUGUCAUGAAUACAUAGUGGCAUGAGGCGAACCGGGGGAACUGAAACAUCUAAGUACCCCGAGGAAAAGAAAUCAACCGAGAUUCCCCCAGUAGCGGCGAGCGAACGGGGAGGAGCCCAGAACCUGAAUCGGCUUGUGUGUUAGUGGAAGCGUCUGGAAAGUCGCGCAGCAAAGGGUGAUAGCCCCGUACACUAAAAUGCACAUGUCGUGAGUUCGAUGAGUAGGGCGGGACACGUGACAUCCUGUCUGAAUAUGGGGGGACCAUCCUCCAAGGCUAAAUACUCCUGACUGACCGAUAGUGAACCAGUACCGUGAGGGAAAGGCGAAAAGAACCCCGGCGAGGGGAGUGAAAUAGAACCUGAAACCGUGUACGUACAAGCAGUGGGAGCACCUUCGUGGUGUGACUGCGUACCUUUUGUAUAAUGGGUCAGCGACUUAUAUUUUGUAGCAAGGUUAACCGUAUAGGGGAGCCGUAGGGAAACCGAGUCUUAACUGGGCGACUAGUUGCAAGGUAUAGACCCGAAACCCGGUGAUCUAGCCAUGGGCAGGUUGAAGGUUGGGUAACACUAACUGGAGGACCGAACCGACUAAUGUUGAAAAAUUAGCGGAUGACUUGUGGCUGGGGGUGAAAGGCCAAUCAAACCGGGAGAUAGCUGGUUCUCCCCGAAAGCUAUUUAGGUAGCGCCUCGUGAACUCAUCUUCGGGGGUAGAGCACUGUUUCGGCUAGGGGGCCAUCCCGGCUUACCAAACCGAUGCAAACUCCGAAUACCGAAGAAUGUUAUCACGGGAGACACACGGCGGGUGCUAACGUCCGUCGUGAAGAGGGAAACAACCCAGACCGCCAGCUAAGGUCCCAAAGUCAUGGUUAAGUGGGAAACGAUGUGGGAAGGCAUAGACAGCCAGGAUGUUGGCUUAGAAGCAGCCAUCAUUUAAAGAAAGCGUAAUAGCUCACUGGUCGAGUCGGCCUGCGCGGAAGAUGUAACGGGGCUAAACCAUGCACCGAAGCUGCGGCAGCGACGCUUAGGCGUUGUUGGGUAGGGGAGCGUUCUGUAAGCCGUUGAAGGUGGCCUGUGAGGGUUGCUGGAGGUAUCAGAAGUGCGAAUGCUGACAUAAGUAACGAUAAAGCGGGUGAAAAGCCCGCUCGCCGGAAGACCAAGGGUUCCUGUCCAACGUUAAUCGGGGCAGGGUGAGUCGACCCCUAAGGCGAGGCUGAAAAGCGUAGUCGAUGGGAAACAGGUUAAUAUUCCUGUACUUGGUGUUACUGCGAAGGGGGGACGGAGAAGGCUAGGCUGGCCGGGCGACGGUUGUCCCGGUUUAAGCGUGUAGGGGGUGUGACCUGGUAAAUCCGGUUGCAUAUCAACCCUGAGGCGUGAUGACGAUGCACUACGGUGCAGAAGUAGUUGAUGCCCUGCUUCCAGGAAAAUCCUCUAAGCUCCAGGUAACAUUAAAUCGUACCCCAAACCGACACAGGUGGUCAGGUAGAGAAUACCAAGGCGCUUGAGAGAACUCGGGUGAAGGAACUAGGCAAAAUGGUGCCGUAACUUCGGGAGAAGGCACGCUGGCAUGUAGGUGAAGUCCCUCGCGGAUGGAGCUGAAGCCAGUCGAAGAUACCAGCUGGCUGCAACUGUUUAAUAAAAACACAGCACUGUGCAAACACGAAAGUGGACGUAUACGGUGUGACGCCUGCCCGGUGCUGGAAGGUUAAUUGAUGGGGUCAGCCGCAAGGCGAAGCUCUUGAUCGAAGCCCCAGUAAACGGCGGCCGUAACUAUAACGGUCCUAAGGUAGCGAAAUUCCUUGUCGGGUAAGUUCCGACCUGCACGAAUGGCGUAAUGAUGGCCAGGCUGUCUCCACCCGAGACUCAGUGAAAUUGAACUCGCUGUGAAGAUGCAGUGUACCCGCGGCAAGACGGAAAGACCCCGUGAACCUUUACUAUAGCUUGACACUGAACAUUGAGCCUUGAUGUGUAGGAUAGGUGGGAGGCUUUGAAGCGUGGACGCCAGUCUGCGUGGAGCCAUCCUUGAAAUACCACCCUUUAAUGUUUGAUGUUCUAACUCGGCCCCAUAAUCUGGGGUGAGGACAGUGUCUGGUGGGUAGUUUGACUGGGGCGGUCUCCUCCCAAAGAGUAACGGAGGAGCACGAAGGUUAGCUAAUCACGGUCGGACAUCGUGAGGUUAGUGCAAAGGCAUAAGCUAGCUUGACUGCGAGAGUGACGGCUCGAGCAGGUACGAAAGUAGGUCUUAGUGAUCCGGUGGUUCUGAAUGGAAGGGCCAUCGCUCAACGGAUAAAAGGUACUCCGGGGAUAACAGGCUGAUACCGCCCAAGAGUUCAUAUCGACGGCGGUGUUUGGCACCUCGAUGUCGGCUCAUCACAUCCUGGGGCUGAAGUAGGUCCCAAGGGUAUGGCUGUUCGCCAUUUAAAGUGGUACGCGAGCUGGGUUUAGAACGUCGUGAGACAGUUCGGUCCCUAUCUGCCGUGGGCGUUGGAAGAUUGAGAGGGGUUGCUCCUAGUACGAGAGGACCGGAGUGAACGCACCACUGGUGUUCGGGUUGUCAUGCCAAUGGCAUUGCCCGGUAGCUAAGUGCGGAAAAGAUAAGCGCUGAAAGCAUCUAAGCGCGAAACUUGCCUCAAGAUGAGUCUUCCCUGGGCCUUCAAGGCCCCUGAAGGAACGUUUAAGACUAAGACGUUGAUAGGCUGGGUGUGUAAGUGCAGCGAUGCAUUGAGCUAACCAGUACUAAUGAUCCGUGAGGCUUAACCUUACAACACCGAAGGUGUUU